UACAGAGGGUGCGAGCGUUGUCCGGAAUCACUGGGCGUAAAGGGUGCGUAGGUGGCAAGGUAAGCGUGUGGUGAAAGUCCGGGGCUCAACCCCGGAUCUGCCGUGCGAACUGCCUAGCUUGAGCAAUGUAGAGGCAGGUGGAAUUUCGGGUGUAGCGGUGGAAUGCGUAGAUAUCCGAAAGAACACCAGUGGCGAAGGCGGCCUGCUGGGCAUUUGCUGACACUGAGGCACGACAGCGUGGGGAGCAAACAGG
rnacentral:rRNA from 1 species